GACGAACGCUGGCGGCGUGCUUAACACAUGCAAGUCGAGCGAGGCCUUUCCUUCGGGAGAGUGUCCUAGCGGCGAACGGGUGAGUAACACGUGGGCAACCUGCCCUCAGCUCUGGGAUAACUCCAAGAAAUUGGGGCUAAUACCGGAUAUGACCGCUGACCGCAUGGUCUGGUGGUGGAAAGAUUUGUCGGCUGGGGAUGGGCCCGCGGCCUAUCAGCUUGUUGGUGGGGUAGUGGCCUACCAAGGCGACGACGGGUAGCCGGCCUGAGAGGGUGACCGGCCACACUGGGACUGAGACACGGCCCAGACUCCUACGGGAGGCAGCAGUGGGGAAUAUUGCGCAAUGGGCGAAAGCCUGACGCAGCGACGCCGCGUGGGGGAUGACGGCCUUCGGGUUGUAAACCUCUUUCAGCAGGGACGAAGCGAAAGUGACGGUACCUGCAGAAGAAGCACCGGCCAACUACGUGCCAGCAGCCGCGGUAAUACGUAGGGUGCAAGCGUUGUCCGGAAUUAUUGGGCGUAAAGAGCUCGUAGGCGGUUUGUUGCGUCGGCUGUGAAAUCCCGAGGCUCAACCUCGGGUCUGCAGUCGAUACGAGCAAACUAGAGUGUUGCAGGGGAGACUGGAAUUCCUGGUGUAGCGGUGAAAUGCGCAGAUAUCAGGAGGAACACCGGUGGCGAAGGCGGGUCUCUGGGCAACAACUGACGCUGAGGAGCGAAAGCGUGGGGAGCGAACAGGAUUAGAUACCCUGGUAGUCCACGCCGUAAACGUUGGGCGCUAGGUGUGGGGCUCAUUCCACGAGUUCCGUGCCGCAGCUAACGCAUUAAGCGCCCCGCCUGGGGAGUACGGCCGCAAGGCUAAAACUCAAAGGAAUUGACGGGGGCCCGCACAAGCGGCGGAGCAUGUUGCUUAAUUCGAUGCAACGCGAAGAACCUUACCUAGGCUUGACAUGCACGGAAAUCCUCCAGAGAUGGUGGGUCCGUAAGGGCCGUGCACAGGUGGUGCAUGGUUGUCGUCAGCUCGUGUCGUGAGAUGUUGGGUUAAGUCCCGCAACGAGCGCAACCCUCGUUCUAUGUUGCCAGCACGUCAUGGUGGGGACUCAUAGGAGACUGCCGGGGUCAACUCGGAGGAAGGUGGGGAUGACGUCAAAUCAUCAUGCCCCUUAUGUCUAGGGCUGCAAACAUGCUACAAUGGCCGGUACAAAGGGCUGCGAUACCGCGAGGUGGAGCGAAUCCCAAAAAGCCGGUCUCAGUUCGGAUUGGGGUCUGCAACUCGACCCCAUGAAGUUGGAGUCGCUAGUAAUCGCAGAUCAGCAACGCUGCGGUGAAUACGUUCCCGGGCCU
rnacentral:rRNA from 1 species